UACAGAGGGGGCACGCGUUGUUCGGAAUUACUGGGCGUAAAGGGCGCGUAGGCGGCCUGUUAAGUCGAACGUGAAAUCCCCGGGCUCAACCCGGGAACUGCGUCCGAUACUGGCAGGCUUGAAUCCGGGAGAGGGAUGCGGAAUUCCAGGUGUAGCGGUGAAAUGCGUAGAUAUCUGGAGGAACACCGGUGGCGAAGGCGGCAUCCUGGACCGGCAUUGACGCUGAGGCGCGAAAGCCAGGGGAGCAAACGGG
rnacentral:rRNA from 1 species